rnacentral:lncRNA from 1 species
GUGACCCAUCUUCCGUGCUUGAAAUCGACGUAGUGGACCCUGGCUAGCAUAUUUUUCCCUGCCAAGAUUAUUGCAAAAAGACGAUGUGGUGGUUAAUAUCGGAAAGAAUGUGUGGUUAAUAUCAGGAAGAACACGUGAAAUGGAGAAUUUCAGGGCUAACAUUUCUUGUUUUGUUUCUGAAAACAUCGGCAUGUCCUAAAAAGUGUCGCCUGUGCCCAUCAUCUCUCAGGCUUGGGAGCAGGACACCGCCGGCUCACUUUAAAGCCAAGGGAAAGAAUUUGGACAACCAACUACGUCUGGAGAAGACACCAAUGUCAGCAGAGCUCCGCUUUCAUCUGUGGGCGAAGGAUUACCUAGAUGCCAAGGCAAGAGACUGAAGACACAAACUGUUUCAGUAUAACAAAGAAAAUAGGCCGGGAGCGGUGGCUCACGCCUGUAAUCCCAGCACUUUGGGAGGCCGAGGCGGGUGGAUCACGAGGUCAGGAGAUCGAGACCAUCCUGGCUAACACGCUACCUAAAAGGGAAGCGCCCCCUGUCCUAUGAUCACGUGACUUGCUUCACCUUGUCAAUCACUUGGAAGAUUCACCCUCCUUACCCUGCCCUCCUUGUCUUGUAUGCAAUAAAUAUCAGUGCGCCCAGCCAUUCGGGGCCACUACUGGUCUCCGUGUCUUGAUGGUAGUGGUCCCCCGGGCCCAGCUGUUCUCUCUUUA